rnacentral:rRNA from 1 species
GACGAACGCUGGCGGCGUGCUUAACACAUGCAAGUCGAACGGAAAGGCCCUGCUUUUGUGGGGUUCUCGAUUGGCGAACGCGUGCGUGUCACGUGAGUAACCUGCCCUUGACUUUGGGGUAACUUCACGAAACUAGGGCUAAUACCAGAUAGGAUCUCCUCCUCCAUUUUGGGGAUUGGAAAGUUUCGGCUGUAGGGGAUGGAUUCGCGGCUUACCAGCUUGUUUGUGGGGUAGUGGCUGACCCAGGCUUUGACGGGUAGGCAGCCUGAGAGGGGGACCGGGGACAAGAGGGCUAAGAGACGGCCCAGACGCGUACGGGAGGCAACAGGGGGGAGUAUGGCACAGUGGGCGGAAGCGGGUGGCAGAGACGCUGCGGGCGGGAAGCCGGCCUUUGGGUUGUAAACCGCUGUAGCCUGUGACGAAGCGGUAGUGACGGUAAUGGGUAAAGAAGCACCGGCUAACUACGUG